GAUAGAAUAUGUAUUCAGCACAAAAACUGUAGUGGUGGGGGGAGGAGAGGGAAAAUUGGUACCAUGACAUAACUAAGGGUUGGGAUGGGUUGAUGGUGGAGUUACCAUGAUGGAGACUCCACCGCAGCUCCUGGCAUCACUUCCUGGCCAAUUUACCCCACAGCUUUAGUUUCUUCUUGACAUUGCACAUGGGCUGGGAUGGGGUGACUUGGGGUCAACAAAAGCCGUGUAAUAUCCUUCUAGCUACCUCCUCCUUCUCCUCCGGGCCUGGUGAGACCCCCCCACCGCCCAUUGCCACUAGAGUUCAAUGCUGGGCAUUGUCUCCGGGCAGACAUUUGCCAUGAGAGAAAAUUGGUUUCCAGUUUGGACUGUGCCAUACAGUGCUGGGAUAUUUCCAUGAUGGAUCCAAGUUCUCAGGCUCCUCCUGGCCUCCUGUCUGAUUGCACAAGAAAAAACAGUGGCAAUCCUGGGGCCGUACCUGAAAGGAGAAGCUGUCUGGGAAAUGGUUUAAUGUCUGAAGUGCUGGUGGCAGCUGGUUACCAGGGUGCUUUCAAGGGGCUCGGGAGCCCUCCAUAAACAUUACAUGUUCCCUGCUCAUGGGGCAAGCCCAGCAGUGUCUCUGUGAGCUGCUAACACUCUGCUGUCCAAAGGGGGAAGGAGCCACAAGCCGGGAACGAAAGCAGGAAGACCUCCUGCCUGUGUCAUUGGCUUGCCCAAAGGCCUUGGCCAAGCCAUUGCAUUUCUCUGUGCCUCAGUUCCCCCCCCGUCUGUAAAAUGGGGGGUAAUACCUACCUCACAGGGGUGUUGUGAGGUUUAGCAAACUGAUGUCUUGAAAGAGCUUUACAAUCCUCAGAUGAAAGGUGCUGUUG